CAGGGCAAACAGACAGUCGCCGCGUAUCGCGUAAGGCAUACGGGGAGGAAAGUCCGAGCUACACAGAGCAAAAAUGCCAGCUAACGGCUGGGCGUGGUAACACGACGGAAAGUGGCGCAGAAAGCAAUACCGCCGAUGGUUUGGGGCAACCCAUUCACAGGUAAGGGUGAAAAAGGUGCGGUAAGAGCGCACCGCGUGGCUGGUAACAGCUUCACGGCAGGCUAAACCCCAUUUGUAGCAAGACCAAACAGAACACUUUGACGCUGCUCGCCGAGUGUUCGGGUAGGUUGCUUGAGCGUGCAAGUGAUUGUACGCCUAGAGGAAUGACUGUCCAACGACAAAACUCGGCUUAUCGUUUGCCCUGUCUU
rnacentral:RNase_P_RNA from 1 species